UCUAACAAUGAAGGUAAGGGAAGUUGGCAAAAAAGAUCCGUAACUUCGGGAUAAGGAUUGGCUCUAAGGGCUGGGUCGGUCUGGCUGGGGUGCGAAGCGGGGCUGGGCUCGAGCCACGGCUGGGGGAGCAGUCGCUCCGUAGCCCUCCUCUCGCCACCAUUGGAAGUUUGUUGUGCGGCCCAUCUCGCGGUCUCUCAUGUGUGGUCUCGCAAGGGGCUGCGUGCAGGGAUUCGUCGAGGUGGUGUCCGUCGGUGGGCCAAAGGCGGACCGGUGGGGGGUUGGGUCCGGCGGUUGGCGGCGGCAACUCUGGACACGCGCCGGCCCUUCUCGCGGAUCUCCCCAGCUAUGGCGUUCGCAUUGUAGGUGGGGAGGUCUCCUCUACGCUCACUAGACUUGAGGCGGAGACUAAACCCAUUGGCCCCGCAGUGAUAGGGUAUUGCAUAGAUCUGGCUCAUGCCUUACGAAGUGGGGAGAGGUAUCUUCAGCUUGUCUGGGGAGGGAGUCCUACAUCUGAUGUGGGUAGUACCAUCUACGCCCAUUGAUUUGCUGCGGAACCAUAAAAUGGAUGGAAGAAGCCUAGGUUCCCACUGGGCAUGGAUCACUGAAUGCCAACUUGAUGAAAUUCAAAGGAGCGUACCCACCUGUCGCGGUCGCACUCAAAUCACCUGUGGGGUGACUGUGACCCCUUCAUGUCAAAGUGAGGAAUAUUGAUGAAGCGCUGGUAAAGCAUGGUUCCUAUGCCUCUGUCCCGGAGGGCUGACUGGGCAAGCAAAUGAUUGAAAGGGGAAGAUCAUUUUCUGUUCCUUCUUUCGACACCCGGUCGAUGGUGCCGCUAGAAACUGCAAUGGGUAUUUGGUUCUCAAGCCUAUAAAUAUUGCGCUGGCACUUGAUGUUGAUUGGGUGUAAAAACCCAGUUAAAGUCCGCUGAAGGUUAGUAGCAACAACUGAUGUCCCGUUUGUAGGACAAAAAAGCCUCUGAUGAUACCACAGCGCGUGACUCUAAUGGAUGUCAAUUUGAUGAUAUCUGACCGUAGCAUGCUACCCUUCGCACUCAAACCACCUUUAGGGUGGCUGUGACCCCAUCAUGUCAAAGUGAGGAAAGUCGAUGAAGCGGGGGUAAACGGCGGGACAUAAUUAAGUCUCUUGCGGUAUCCAAAUUCCUCGUUAUCUAAUGAGUGUAGCGCAUGAAUGGAUGAAUGAGAUUCCCACUGUCCCAACCUACUAUCUAGCGAAACCACAGCCAAGGGAACGGGCUUGA
rnacentral:ncRNA from 1 species